rnacentral:rRNA from 1 species
AGUUUGAUCCUGGCUCAGAGUGAACGUUGGCGGCGUGCCUAACACAUGCAAGUCGAACGGCAGCACGGGUGCUUGCACCUGGUGGCGAGUGGCGAACGGGUGAGUAAUGCGUCGGAACGUACCGAGUAAUGGGGGAUAACGCAGCGAAAGUUGUGCUAAUACCGCAUACGCCCUCCGGGGGAAAGCAGGGGAUCGCAAGACCUUGCGUUAUUCGAGCGGCCGACGUCUGAUUAGCUAGUUGGUGAGGUAAUGGCUCACCAAGGCGACGAUCAGUAGCGGGUCUGAGAGGAUGAUCCGCCACACUGGGACUGAGACACGGCCCAGACUCCUACGGGAGGCAGCAGUGGGGAAUUUUGGACAAUGGGGGCAACCCUGAUCCAGCCAUUCCGCGUGAGUGAAGAAGGCCUUCGGGUUGUAAAGCUCUUUCAGCCGGAACGAAACGGCACGCUCUAACAUAGUGUGCUAAUGACGGUACCGGCAGAAGAAGCACCGGCUAACUACGUGCCAGCAGCCGCGGUAAUACGUAGGGUGCGAGCGUUAAUCGGAAUUACUGGGCGUAAAGCGUGCGCAGGCGGAUUGUUAAGCAAGACGUGAAAUCCCCGGGCUUAACCUGGGAAUGGCGUUUUGAACUGGCAGUCUAGAGUGUGUCAGAGGGGGGUGGAAUUCCACGUGUAGCAGUGAAAUGCGUAGAGAUGUGGAGGAACACCGAUGGCGAAGGCAGCCCCCUGGGAUAACACUGACGCUCAUGUACGAAAGCGUGGGUA